AGCCUUAUAGUCAAUGAUGAUAUUAGAUUGCAAUUCUGAAGGAGUAGUAGGACUACUGAGGCAU
rnacentral:tRNA from 2 species